rnacentral:rRNA from 1 species
UACAGAGGUCCCAAGCGUUGUUCGGAUUCACUGGGCGUAAAGGGUGCGUAGGUGGUAGGGUAAGUUUGGUGUGAAAUCUCUGGGCCCAACCCAGAAACUGCAUCAAAUACUAUCCUGCUAGAGGUUUGGAAGGGGGACUGGAAUUCUUGGUGUAGCAGUGAAAUGCGUAGAUAUCAAGAGGAACACCAGUGGCGAAGGCGAGUCCCUGGACAACACCUGACACUGAGGCACGAAAGCUAGGGGAG